AGUGGCGAACGGGUGAGUAAUGUAUCGGAACGUACCUUUCAGUGGGGGAUAACGUAGCGAAAGUUACGCUAAUACCGCAUAUUCUGUGAGCAGGAAAGCAGGGGAUCGAAAGACCUUGCGCUGAUUGAGCGGCCGAUAUCAGAUUAGCUAGUUGGUGGGGUAAAGGCCUACCAAGGCGACGAUCUGUAGCGGGUCUGAGAGGAUGAUCCGCCACACUGGAACUGAGACACGGUCCAGACUCCUACGGGAGGCAGCAGUGGGGAAUUUUGGACAAUGGGGGCAACCCUGAUCCAGCCAUGCCGCGUGAGUGAAGAAGGCCUUCGGGUUGUAAAGCUCUUACGGCCGGGAAGAAAUCGCAUAGGCUAAUACCCUGUGUGGAUGACGGUACCGGAAUAAGAAGCACCGGCUAACUACGUGCCAGCAGCCGCGGUAAUACGUAGGGUGCGAGCGUUAAUCGGAAUUACUGGGCGUAAAGCGUGCGCAGGCGGUUUCGUAAGACAGAGGUGAAAUCCCCGGGCUCAACCUGGGAACUGCCUUUGUGACUGCGAGGCUAGAGUACGCAGAAAGGGGGGUGGAAAUUCCACGGUGUAGCAGUGAAAUGCGUAGAGAAUUGUGGAGAACACGAAUGGCGAAGCAGCCCCCUGGCCGAUACUGACGCUCAUGCACGAAAGCGUGG
rnacentral:rRNA from 1 species